rnacentral:misc_RNA from 1 species
GGGAACAUAUUGUGCUUCACCUCCGUACCCUUCAUCUGCUUCGUAGCUGAACUUCCCAAUGGUGAUUUCUUGUCCACCGCAGUUUAUAUGCAAUGAAUAACGAUCUUUUGAACAAGGAAGGCUGCCCAAGCACUCCACAGCCUUUGAGUUGUUCCCUCCAUAAGAGCUUUUGAACAAAUUCAGAUUAUCUCGACAAGCAACUGGGACAGAAGUUUCAGAAAAAUUAUUGUAAGAAAUAU